rnacentral:lncRNA from 1 species
AGAAGACUGACUGAGAUGUGUUGGCGGGCUUCUCAAGAUCCCUAUCGAUGGCAGAAUGCUGACAUGAGUUGCCCAUAGUCCAGGUUUCCCAAUGUAGCAGAUGACUCUAGCGGCUCCAGCUUCAGCAUCAUCUUAAGUUCAAGUGAAAAGGAAAAGAGAAUCUCUUUUUCUUCAAACAAUUUCAAACUAAAAUCUUGAGUCUGACUUUUCCUGGCCAGAAUUAAGCUUGUACUUAUCCCUGAAAAAUCAUCAAUGCUACAGUGAUGAAUUUACCAAUUGAGGCAGAAUUUAGGUCACAUGACGCUCCAAAGCCUCUUCAAAACCGCAUGACUCAGAGUGAGGCAGAAGUAUUUGGGAUAUUUGCAACAGGAGAAGGGUAAAUGAAUGGAGAGUGCCAAAACAACUUAUGUCAAUUAUACAAUUAUAAAUACAACCAAAAUAAAGUAUGGAAAUCAG